rnacentral:rRNA from 1 species
GAUGAACGCUGGCGGCGUGCCUAAUACAUGCAAGUCGAGCGAACGGACGAGAAGCUUGCUUCUCUGAUGUUAGCGGCGGACGGGUGAGUAACACGUGGAUAACCUACCUAUAAGACUGGGAUAACUUCGGGAAACCGGAGCUAAUACCGGAUAAUAUUAUGAACCGCAUGGUUCAAAAGUGAAAGACGGUCUUGCUGUCACUUAUAGAUGGGUCCGCGCUGCAUUAGCUAGUUGGUAAGGUAACGGCUUACCAAGGCAACGAUGCAUAGCCGACCUGAGAGGGUGAUCGGCCACACUGGAACUGAGACACGGUCCAGACUCCUACGGGAGGCAGCAGUAGGGAAUCUUCCGCAAUGGGCGAAAGCCUGACGGAGCAACGCCGCGUGAGUGAUGAAGGUCUUCGGAUCGUAAAACUCUGUUAUUAGGGAAGAACAUAUGUGUAAGUAACUGUGCACAUAUUGACGGUACCUAAUCAGAAAGCCACGGCUAACUACGUG